GGUUCAAUGGUCUAGUGGUUAUGAUUUCUGUCUCACAUUGCAAUAUGCCAUUCGAGUAGUGGUCACAGAAGGUCUCCAGUUCGAUCCUGGAUUGAACCA